rnacentral:rRNA from 1 species
AGUGAACGCUGGCGGUAGGCCUAACACAUGCAAGUCGAACGGCAGCACAGUAAGAUCUUGCUCUUACGGGUGGCGAGUGGCGGACGGGUGAGGAAUACAUCGGAAUCUACUUUUUCGUGGGGGAUAACGUAGGGAAACUUACGCUAAUACCGCAUACGACCUACGGGUGAAAGCAGGGGAUCUUCUGACCUUGCUCUAUUGAAUGAGCCGAUGUCGGAUUAGCUAGUUGGCGGGGUAAAGGCCCACCAAGGCGACGAUCCGUAGCUGGUCUGAGAGGAUGAUCAGCCACACUGGAACUGAGAAACGGUCCAGACUCCUACGGGAGGCAGCAGUGGGGAAUAUUGGAAAAUGGGCGCAAGCCUGAUCCAGCCAUACCGCGUGGGUGAAGAAGGCCUUCGGGUUGUAAAGCCCUUUUGUUGGGAAAGAAAAGCAGCAGGUUAAUACCCCGCUGUUCUGACGGUACCCAAAGAAUAAGCACCGGCUAACUUCGUG